GCGGGGAUAGCUCAGUUGGGAGAGCGUCAGACUGAAGCCACAACUUCAUUCCGUAUCUUGGUCUAGCCUUGAUUAUCUGAAGGUCGUGUGUUCGAUCCACACUCACCGCA